UCUUAAUUAAACUAAUAAGAGCAACCUUCACAGACUGGAUAUAAAGAGGACCUGUGUCUUGGAUUUAUUUCCAUUCUUUCUCUAACUUUAGCUUUAUGCAAUAUUUAACCCUAAGUCAGUGUAUUUCUGAAUGUCACACCUAGAAAUUUGGCGAGUAUGAUCAUAAUUUAAAGAAUGUUCAGAACAAAUUUUUGUUGGGGAUUUAAAUUAACAAAGCUUGUUUGGAAGUUCUAGAUCCUCGCGCAUUUUGUCUUCCUCACAGAAGGAGUCUCACUGCUCUUUAUAUUUAGGAUUCAAAAGUAUUAAUGAUUUGUGUUUCUCUGAAUUCCCUGGUGAAGGUGCUUUUUGAAGUGACUGAGGGUGGUGGCAGUCAGGAGGAAGUAGAUAACACUUUCAUACCUGAUCGUUAAAAAUGUAAAUAAUCAUAAUUGUGUUGUCAUAGCACAGAUAAGUGAUGAUUUUUCCCUGCUGUCCUGCUGCUGACCAGCUAAUCUAACUAGCUCCUUUUCCACAUACAGCAUCAUCCCUCAAUUUAGAGUGAGUCCAUAAUUCAUGAGAAUUUUGGGGUAGUUAUUGCCACUGCUGACUCACUGGCUAUUUUAGCUGAAGCCACCACCAGCGUAUACCAGCCUCAGGCACAGGCGGAUAGCUAGGUGGCCUGAUGCUAUCUUAGGUAACUGGAGCAUCGCUUCUGGAAGUGAGAAGCUGCCUUUAAAUUAUUCAGUGAGCCUCCCUCCAGUUCACAGGCCUUUCACCACUGUAGGGAAAGCAGCAGAAAAGUGCCGGGAGAGUCUUGACACAGCAGGAUUUAAUGGGAAGGAAGAAAACAGGGGAAGAGGAGUCAUCAUUUGGAAGAUGCCAAGCAGGCCUAGAAUGUUGCAAAGCCCAAGACUGCUCACCUCUUUUCCAGAGCAUCAGUGAGUGUUGCCUGGGACAACUUCUCCCGAGUUAGGAAAUCAACUUGAUGAUGCCAAAGAGGAAAGAACAAAGGCCAGUGGACUGGGAAUCAGAAAACUACUCCAGUCUCUAAUGCGCCACGUGACCAGGUACAGCUACCUCAUCUCUCUGGGUCUCAAUUUUCUCAUAAAACUGUGACUAAGUGGGUUGGAAUGGAUGAAUGCUAAGGUCUCAUCU
rnacentral:lncRNA from 1 species